rnacentral:lncRNA from 1 species
AUUGGCCCCAUCUGCAGGUCCUCUUUGACACCUACCUUACUCUCUCCCUCCACUCACACUCUGAGAACUGUGCUCAGGGGCAGCGCUACAACUUCCACAUUGGUCUUUACAGGGCUUGAGUGAUUAUUUCAAGAACAGAACGCUGUGUGGAAACCUUUACCAUAUUUCGUUGUAUCUAAGACACAUUUUUUUUUUUUGAAAUUUAACAUCUCUAAGGUUGGGUUAUGUUUCUUCAUCAUUGUCAGGUUGGAGCUUAAUCAGCAGCACUUUUUUUUAAUGUCACACACAGUAAUGGUGAUGCAUCUCACAAUUGAGAUCAUCUUAGACAUGAUGGAAUAUGGAAUCGUGUGCCUGUUACAAGCCAGGCUCUUGUCUGGGUUCUAGAGACGGUGGAAACCAAGACAGCACCAUCCUCUAGUGGUGUUCACAUCCCACCACAGUGGAGUCAGGACUUUGAAGUCCUCCAUUGGAUCUUCUCGGAAGAUGAGGGAAAUGAGAGAGUGUGGAGAGAGAUUUUGUAAGUCCGGUCUGGAAGUGGUCAUUGUUCAGAAUCCAGCCACGUGGGUACAUGGAACUGUAAGGCUAUUUCAACAUGGGAAACUGAAAUCGGGCAUAUCCCUGCGGAAGAAGGGCCCCAAUCUGUGCUAGCAGGGGAGGCAGAAAGCAGCUGUUUACCUUUGAGGG